rnacentral:rRNA from 1 species
AUUGAACGCUGGCGGCAGGCCUAACACAUGCAAGUCGAGCGAGCGGCGGACGGGUGAGUAAUGUCUGGGAAACUGCCUGCUGGAGGUGGCUAACUACUGGAAUCGGUAGCUAAUACUGCCUACCAUCCGACGUGCCCAGAUGGGAUUAGCUAGUAGGUGGGGUAACGGCUCACCUAGGCGACGAUCCCUAGCUGGUCUGAGAGGAUGACCAGCCACACUGGAACUGAGACACGGUCCAGACUCCUACGGGAGGCAGCAGUGGGGAAUAUUGGACAAUGGGGGCAAGCCUGAUGCAGCCAUGCCGCGUGUGUGAAGAAGGCCUUCGGGUUGUAAAGCACUUUCAGCGGGGAGGCGUUACCCGCAGAAGAAGCACCGGCUAACUCCGUGCCAGCCGCCGCGGUAAUAC